rnacentral:rRNA from 1 species
AGUUUGAUCCUGGCUCAGAUUGAACGCUGGCGGCAUGCCUUACACAUGCAAGUCGAACGGUAACGCGGGGCAACCUGGCGACGAGUGGCGAACGGGUGAGUAAAGCAUCGGAACGUGGCCAGUAGUGGGGGAUAGCCCGGCGAAAGCCGGAUUAAUACCGCAUACGACCUACGGGUGAAAGGGGGGGAUCGCAAGACCUCUCGCUAUUGGAGCGGCCGAUGUCAGAUUAGCUAGUUGGUGGGGUAAAGGCCUACCAAGGCGACGAUCUGUAGCUGGUCUGAGAGGACGACCAGCCACACUGGGACUGAGACACGGCCCAGACUCCUACGGGAGGCAGCAGUGGGGAAUUUUGGACAAUGGACGAAAGUCUGAUCCAGCCAUGCCGCGUGCGGGAAGAAGGCCUUCGGGCUGUAAACCGCUUUUGUUAGGGAAGAAAUCUUCUGGGUUAAUACCUCGGGAGGAUGACGGUACCUGAAGAAUAAGCACCGGCUAACUACGUGCCAGCAGCCGCGGUAAUACGUAGGGUGCAAGCGUUAAUCGGAAUUACUGGGCGUAAAGCGUGCGCAGGCGGUUAUGUAAGACAGAUGUGAAAUCCCCGGGCUCAACCUGGGAACUGCAUUUGUGACUGCAUAGCUUGAGUGCGGCAG